rnacentral:rRNA from 1 species
GCAUAUCAAUAAGCGGAGGAAAAGAAACCAACAGGGAUUGCCUCAGUAGCGGCGAGUGAAGCGGCAAAAGCUCAAAUUUGAAAUCUGGCGUCUUUGGCGUCCGAGUUGUAAUUUGAAGAAGGUAUCUUUGGGCCCGGCUCUUGUCUAUGUUCCUUGGAACAGGACGUCACAGAGGGUGAGAAUCCCGUGCGAUGAGAUGACCCGGGUCUGUGUAAAGUUCCUUCGACGAGUCGAGUUGUUUGGGAAUGCAGCUCUAAGUGGGUGGUAAAUUCCAUCUAAAGCUAAAUAUUGGCGAGAGACCGAUAGCGAACAAGUACAGUGAUGGAAAGAUGAAAAGAACUUUGAAAAGAGAGUGAAAAAGUACGUGAAAUUGUUGAAAGGGAAGGGCUUGAGAUCAGACUUGGUAUUUUGCAUGUUGCUCUCUCGGGGGCGGCCGCUGCGGUUUACCGGGCCAGCAUCGGUUUGGAGCGGCAGGAUAAUGGCGGAGGAAUGUGGCACGGCUUCUGCUGUGUGUUAUAGCCUCUGACGAUACUGCCAGCCUAGACCGAGGACUGCGGUUUUUACCUAGGAUGUUGGCAUAAUGAUCUUAAGUCGCCCGUCUUGAAACACGGACC